GUACACUCCUGCGGGAGGCAGCAGUGGGGAAUUUUGGACAAUGGGCGAAAGCCUGAUCCAGCCAUGCCGCGUGCAGGAUGAAGGCCUUCGGGUUGUAAACUGCUUUUGUACGGAACGAAACGGCCUUUUCUAAUAAAGAGGGCUAAUGACGGUACCGUAAGAAUAAGCACCGGCUAACUACGUGCCAGCAGCCGCGGUAAUACGUAGGGUGCAAGCGUUAAUCGGAAUUACUGGGCGUAAAGCGUGCGCAGGCGGUUAUGUAAGACAGUUGUGAAAUCCCCGGGCUCAACCUGGGAACUGCAUCUGUGACUGCAUAGCUAGAGUACGGUAGAGGGGGAUGGAAUUCCGCGUGUAGCAGUGAAAUGCGUAGAUAUGCGGAGGAACACCGAUGGCGAAGGCAAUCCCCUGGACCUGUACUGACGCUCAUGCACGAAAGCGUGGGGAGCAAACAGGAUUAGAAACCCGAGUAGUCCC
rnacentral:rRNA from 1 species